UACGUAGGGUGCGAGCGUUGUCCGGAAUUAUUGGGCGUAAAGGGCUCGUAGGCGGUUUGUCGCGUCGGGAGUGAAAACCAGGUGCUUAACACCUGGCUUGCUUUCGAUACGGGCAGACUAGAGGUAUGCAGGGGAGAACGGAAUUCCUGGUGUAGCGGUGAAAUGCGCAGAUAUCAGGAGGAACACCGGUGGCGAAGGCGGUUCUCUGGGCAUGACCUGACGCUGAGGAGCGAAAGCGUGGGUAGCAAACAGG
rnacentral:rRNA from 1 species